rnacentral:rRNA from 1 species
UACGGAAGGCAGCAGUGGGGAAUAUUGCACAAUGGGCGCAAGCCUGAUGCAGCCAUGCCGCGUGUAUGAAGAAGGCCUUCGGGUUGUAAAGUACUUUCAGUCGUGAGGAAGGUGUUAAGGUUAAUAACCUUAGCAAUUGACGUUAGCGACAGAAGAAGCACCGGCUAACUCCGUGCCAGCAGCCGCGGUAAUACGGAGGGUGCGAGCGUUAAUCGGAAUUACUGGGCGUAAAGGGCACGCAGGCGGUUAAUUAAGUUGGAUGUGAAUCCCCGGGCUUAACCUGGGAAUGGCAUUCAAGACUGGUUAGCUAGAGUCUUGUAGAGGGGGUAGAAUUCCAUGUGUAGCGGUGAAAUGCGUAGAGAUGUGGAGGAAUACCGGUGGCGAAGGCGGCCCCUGGCAAAGACUGACGCUCAUGUGCGAAAGCGUGGGGAGCAAACAGGGAUUAGAUACC